CCGUACCCCAAACCGACACAGGUGGACUAGCAGAGUAUGCUUAGGCGCUUGAGAGAAGUAUGCUGAAGGAACUAGGCAAAUUGCCCUCGUAACUUCGGAAGAAGAGGGCCCAAUUCCUACGUAAGUAGGGAUUGGGGGCACAGAGCAGGGGGUGGCGACUGUUUACUAAAAACACAGGACUCUGCGAAAUCCAAAGAUGACGUAUAGGGUCUGACGCCUGCCCGGUGCCGGAAGGUUAAGAGGAGAUGUGAAAGCGUCGAAUCGAAGCCCCGGUAAACGGCGGCCGUAACGAUAACGGUCCUAAGGUAGCGAAAUUCCUUGUCGGGUAAGUUCCGACCUGCACGAAAGGCGUAACGACUUCCCCACUGUCUCCAGCAUAUGCUCAGCGAAGUUGAAUUCCCCGUGAAGAUGCGGGGUACCCGCGGUCAGACGGAAAGACCCCGUGCACCUUUACUGCAACUUUGCACUGGCAUUAGGGAUGGAUUGCGUAGGAUAGGUGGUAGGCUUUGAAGUUCAGGCUCUGGCUUGGAUGGAGCCGCCCUUGAAAUACCACCCUGUUUGUUCCUGAUGUCUAACCGCGGCUCGAAACAGGGUCCGGAACCAUGCAUGGUGGGCAGUUUGACUGGGGCGGUCGCCUCCUAAAGAGUAACGGAGGCGCGCGAUGGUAAGCUCAGGCCGGUCGGAAAUCGGCUGUUGAGUGCAAUGGCACAAGCUUGCCUGACUGCAAGGCUGACAAGCCAAGCAGAGACGAAAGUCGGUCAUAGUGAUCCGGUGGUCCCGCGUGGAAGGGCCAUCGCUCAACGGAUAAAAGGUACGCCGGGGAUAACAGGCUGAUGAUCCCCAAGAGUCCAUAUCGACGGGAUCGUUUGGCACCUCGAUGUCGGCUCAUCACAUCCUGGGGCUGGAGCAGGUCCCAAGGGUAUGGCUGUUCGCCAUUUAAAGUGGUACGUGAGCUGGGUUUAGAACGUCGUGAGACAGUUCGGUCCCUAUCUGUCGUGGGUGUUCGAGACUUGAGAGGAUUUCUUCCUAGUACGAGAGGACCGGAAGGAACGCACCUCUGGUGGACCGGUUGUCGCGCCAGCGGCACUGCCGGGUAGCUAUGUGCGGAAUAGAUAACCGCUGAAAGCAUCUAAGCGGGAAACUAACCUCAAAACCAGGUCUCGCUGAGAGCCGUGGAAGACUACCACGUUGAUAGGCUGGGCGUGUAAGCGCAGUAAUGCGUUGAGCUUACCAGUCCUAAUCGCUU
rnacentral:rRNA from 1 species